CAAGGAUUCCCCUAGUAACGGCGAGUGAACCGGGAAGAGCUCAAAUUUGAAAUCUGGCGUGCUCAGUGCGUCCGAGUUGUAAUCUAUAGAGGCGUUUUCCGUGCCGGACUGUGUCUAAGUCCCUUGGAACAGGGUAUCAAAGAGGGUGAUAAUCCCGUACUUGACACAAUGACCGGUGCUCUGUGAUACGUCUUCUACGAGUCGAGUUGUUUGGGAAUGCAGCUCAAAAUGGGUGGUGAGUUCCAUCUAAAGCUAAAUAUUGGCGAGAGACCGAUAGCGAACAAGUACCGUGAGGGAAAGAUGAAAAGCACUUUGGAAAGAGAGUUAAACAGUACGUGAAAUUGUUGAAAGGGAAACGAUUGAAGUCAGUCGUGACUGAGAGGCUCAGCCGGUUCUGCCGGUGUAUUCCCCUCAGUCGGGUCAACAUCAGUUUUGUUCGGUGGAUAAGGGCAGCUGGAAGGUGGCACCUCCGGGUGUGUUAUAGCCAGCUGUCGCAUACAUCGAAUGAGACUGAGGAAUGCAGCUCGCCUUUAUGGCCGGGGUUCGCCCACGUCCGAGCUUAGGAUGUUGACAUAAUGGCUUU
rnacentral:rRNA from 1 species